UACGUAGGGUGCAAGCGUUGUCCGGAAUUAUUGGGCGUAAAGAGCUCGUAGGCGGUUUGUCGCGUCUGCUGUGAAAACGCGAGGCUCAACCUCGCGCCUGCAGUGGGUACGGGCAGACUAGAGUGCGGUAGGGGGAGAUUGGAAUUCCUGGUGUAGCGGUGGAAUGCGCAGAUAUCAGGAGGAACACCGAUGGCGAAGGCAGAUCUCUGGGCCGUAACUGACGCUGAGGAGCGAAAAGCGUGGGGAGCGAACAGG
rnacentral:rRNA from 1 species